rnacentral:rRNA from 1 species
UACGUAGGGGGCAAGCGUUGUCCGGAAUUAUUGGGCGUAAAGCGCGUGUAGGCGGCUUUGCAAGUCAGGUGUGAAAGCCCUCGGCUCAACCGAGGAAGUGCGCCUGAAACUGCAGAGCUUGAGUACCGGAGAGGAUGGCGGAAUUCCCCAAGUAGAGGUGAAAUUCGUUGAUAUGGGGAGGAACACCGGUGGCGAAGGCGGCCAUCUGGACGGAUACUGACGCUGAGACGCGAAAGCGUGGGUAGCAAACAGG